rnacentral:rRNA from 1 species
GACGAACGCUGGCGGCGUGCUUAACACAUGCAAGUCGAACGGUGACGAUCAAGCUUGCUUGGUCUGAUCAGUGGCGAACGGGUGAGUAACACGUGAGAAACCUGCCCCAGACUCUGGAAUAACCCCGGGAAACCGGAGCUAAUACCGGAUACGACACCAGCCCGCAUGGGCCUGGUGUGGAAAGUUUUUCGGUCUGGGAUGGCCUCGCGGCCUAUCAGCUUGUUGGUGAGGUAGUGGCUCACCAAGGCGAAGACGGGUAGCCGGCCUGAGAGGGCGACCGGCCACACUGGGACUGAGACACGGCCCAGACUCCUACGGGAGGCAGCAGUGGGGAAUAUUGCACAAUGGGCGAAAGCCUGAUGCAGCGACGCCGCGUGAGGGAUGACGGCCUUCGGGUUGUAAACCUCUUUCAGCAGGGAAGAAGCGCAAGUGACGGUACCUGCAGAAGAAGCACCGGCUAACUACGUGCCAGCCGCCGCAGUAA